GAAAUGUGAUAAUUAAUGUGAAUUGCAGAAUUCAGUGAAUCAUCGAGUCUUUGAACGCACAUUGCGCCCCCUGGUAUUCCGGGGGGCAUGCCUGUCCGAGCGUCAUUGCUGCCCUCAAGCACGGCUUGUGUGUUGGGCUUCCGUCCCUGGCAACGGGGACGGGCCCAAAAGGCAGUGGCGGCACCAUGUCUGGUCCUCGAGCGUAUGGGGCUUUGUCACCCGCUCCCGUAGGUCCAGCUGGCAGCUAGCCUCAAAACCAAUCUUUUAAACCAGGUUGACCUCGGAUCAGGUAGGGAUACCCGCUGAACUUAAGC
rnacentral:misc_RNA from 1 species